rnacentral:rRNA from 1 species
CAGCAGCCGCGGUAAUACGUAGGUGGCAAGCGUUGUCCGGAAUUAUUGGGCGUAAAGGGCUCGCAGGCGGUUUCUUAAGUCUGAUGUGAAAGCCCCCGGCUCAACCGGGGAGGGUCAUUGGAAACUGGGAAACUUGAGUGCAGAAGAGGAGAGUGGAAUUCCACGUGUAGCGGUGAAAUGCGUAGAGAUGUGGAGGAACACCAGUGGCGAAGGCGACUCUCUGGUCUGUAACUGACGCUGAGGAGCGAAAGCGUGGGGAGCGGACAGGAUUAGAUACCUGGGUAGUCCCUGUCUCUUAUAC